rnacentral:pre_miRNA from 1 species
ACUCACGUGGUGAUUCUCCAGUGGGAAGCAUUUUUCUUGUCUGAAAUAAAACAAGGUGCUUCCUUCUAGAGAGCAACUCCGAGA